rnacentral:rRNA from 1 species
GACGAACGCUGGCGGCGUGCCUAAUACAUGCAAGUCGAGCGAAAAGACGAGGCGCUUGUUGGUCUCACGUUAGCGGCGCACGUGUGUGUAACACGUGGAUAAUCUACUUAUAAUACUGGUAUAACUUCGGAAAGGCGGCGCAAAUACCGGAUAAGAUAUUGCACCGCAUGGUUGAUUAGUGAAAGACGGUGUUUGGGUCACUUAUAGCUGGUUCUCCGCCGCAUUGGCUAGUUGGUAAGGUAACGGCUUAUCAAGGCGACUAUGCGUGACCGACCUGAGAGAGUGAUCGGCCACACUGGAACGUGAACACGGUCAAGACUCCUACGGGAGGCAGCAGAAGGGAAUCUGCCGCAGUAGGCGAAAGCCUGACGGAGCAAGGCGGCGCGAGAGAUGAAGGUCUUCGGAGCGUGAAACUCUGUUAUUAGGGAUAAACAAAUUUGGAAGUAACUAUGCACGGCGUGACGGUAACUAAUCAGAAAGCCACGGCUAACUACGUG